rnacentral:lncRNA from 1 species
AGGAGAGGACGACGACCCUGACCUACGGGAGGCCCGAGCUCGACCACGCCGACGACGACGAUGCCCCGCACAAGGUCCCUCCCUACUCCCCCCUUGUCUCCUCAUCUUCAUUCCUUCCUUGUUUCUCCCAUUCCCAAUCAUUUUAUUUUGAGUCGAUUCAGAUCAACAGAAGAUCUCUGCCUCUCAAGUUCCAUGGAAGGACGACCGGGACCCCACGCUCGAGCCCGACGAGCUGGACGAGUUCGACAGCGAGGUCGUCCGCCCCACGCACCAUGAUUCCCCAAAGAACAAGGUUGACCCUCUUGCUCUGUUUUUCUUUUCUUUCCAAGUG